AUGGUAUCAGACAGCAUCAUGUCAAACAGCUCCACACGCUUUACACUUUACAGCCCCAUAAAAGAGUUCACGGCACUAAAAGACCCUGUUGGUGAAUUUGUACUGUAUGUCUGUCACCCUAUUUCUCACACCCCUAACAUCUCCGUCUCCCCCCUCCGUUGUCUUGCCCUUGGUGACAUUUUAGCCAGCGCCGCUCCGGCUUUAUCAAAAGCAGCAGCAGAAACUGCAGAGCAGCAGAGGGCGUCCGGCCAGACACCGUCGGGCCACAACGGAGGUGAAGAGCGGCCACAACAAAACCAUUUUACCCCUGCCCUCAUGCAGAACAUCCGAGAAAUUCUUGGCACACUCAGUGGUAUUCCUGUGCGGCCAGUUUCAUCACGGUCACAUGAUGAAUGAGACGGCAUCAUUUACAUAAUCAACUGCUCGAGCUGGAGACACAGGAACGAAAGGAAACCUGCUUGAACUCUGGACCGCCAUCUGAACUCAGGAAACAUCUUUUGUUAUUCUUUGGGGGUAAUGAAGCCAUAUUUAGUGAACUAUGUAAAGGCACUAUGAUGUCUGGUGGAAGAAAAGUUCGCU
rnacentral:lncRNA from 1 species